rnacentral:rRNA from 1 species
AGUGAACGCUGGCGGCGUGCUUAACACAUGCAAGUCGAACGAGAACGGAUUAUAGCUUGCUAUAAUUGUCAGCUAAGUGGCGCACGGGUGAGUAAUGUAUAGGUAAUAUGCCUCUUACUAAGGGAUAACAAAUGGAAACGUUUGCUAAUACCUUAUACUCCUUAUUAACAUAAGUUAAUAAGGGAAAGAUUUAUUGGUAAGAGAUUAGCCUGUAUUGUAUCAGUUAGUUGGUGGGGUAAUGGCUUACCAAGACUAUGACACAUAACUGGUUUGAGAGGAUGAUCAGGCACGCUGGAACUGAGACACGGUGCAGACUCCUACGGGAGGCAGCAGUGGGGAAUAUUGCACAAUGGACGAAAGUCUGAUGCAGCAGCGCCGCGUGGAGGAUGACACAUUUCGGUGCGUAAACUCCUUUUAUAUGAGAAGAUAAUGACGGUAUUAUAUGAAUAAGCACCGGCUAACUCCGUGCCAGCCGCCGCGGUAA